rnacentral:rRNA from 1 species
GUCUUAUUGAUUAAAUAUAGUAAGUUUAUUCUGCCCAUUGAAAAUUAUUUAAAAGGCUGCAGUAUAUUGACUGUACAAAGGUAGCAAAAUCAAUAGUUUUUUAAUUGAAAACUUGAAUGAAAGAAUGAAUAAAAUAUAAACUGUCUCAAAUUAAAUUAAUGUGAAUUUAAAUUUAAAGUUAAAAUGCUUUAAUAAAUUUAUUAGACGAUAAGACCCUAAGAAUUUAAAAUUAUUUAUUAAUAAAUUUAUUUUAUAAUAUUUGGUUUAUAAAUGAAUAAUUUUUUAUUGGGAGGGUAAUUAAAUUAUUAAACUUUAAUUUGUAUAAACAUAGAUGAAUGAAUAUAAAGAUAAUUAUUAUAAUUAAAAGAGUAAAUUACCUUAGGGAUAACAGCGUAAUAAUUUUGGAGAGUUCAUAUUAAUAAAAUUGUUUGCGACCUCGAUGUUGAAUUAAAAUAAAAAUUAAGUGAAGAAGCUUAAAGUUUUAGUCUGUUCGACUAUUAAAAUUUUACA